CUGCUGUGAUUUCCUUUAUCUGGUCCUCUGCCACCCUGUGUAAAUUUAAGGAAUCCAGCCAUGUGGCUAUCUGAUGUUUAUUAUUUAUUUUUGGUUGGGAAUAUAGAUUCUUAUAAUAUGUUUCAAAACAUGUAUGUAUCUCUUCUGUCUUAUAUUUUGGUAGAUUUGUAGCUGAGCCCCUAUGACUUUUUAAUCUGUAGCCCAGCAAUUUUGUAGAUUUACUUCCCACGUCAUAGUAUCGCUGUUUCAUGUACAACAGCUUUUUUUGAAUCUCUUGUCCUGAGAUGUCAUUUACCUCUGUUCUAACUCUUUUGAUAUUUUGGUUUAUUCGCUCGUCCACAUUUUUUUUAUGUUCUUUUUCCAAUUUUUUAAGCUCUGAUUCUAAUUUAUUGAGUUUUUCCUGUGUUUGCCUUUUCAAGUAUGUUGAUUUAGCAAUUCGUUGUCCUCUAAUCACAGCUUUACACGCGUCCCACAGCACCGAGGGAGACACCUCACCAUUAUCAUUCUCCCUCACAUAUAACUGAAUUUCUUUAAUAAACUCUUCCUUCAUUUGUCCUUUUAAUACAUUUAUAUUUAGCCUCCAAAGUGUUGAUUUUUGUUCUCUUGACAUAGCCAGAGUCAUAUAUACAGGACUAUGGUCUGAUAUGUCUCUCACUCCAAUUUCACAAUUUUCGAUCCUAUAACUGUCCUAACUGAACAUGAAAAAAUUAUCUAUCCUGGAGUAUAUUUGAUGUGGUGCUGAGAAAAAUGUAUAGUCUUCCCUUAGGAUUGAAUUCUUUCCAAACGUCAAUUACUCUUUAUGUAAAAAAAAAAUGUUUGUACUUAUUGCACUUGUAAUUUCACAUUGUGGCAUUUGUAUUUACAGUAGGUGGUUA
rnacentral:misc_RNA from 1 species